rnacentral:rRNA from 1 species
UACGUAGGAUGCAAGCGUUGUCCGGAAUUAUUGGGCGUAAAGAGCUCGUAGGCGGUUCGUCACGUCGGCUGUGAAAUCCCGAGGCUCAACCUCGGGUCUGCAGUCGAUACGGGCGGACUUGAGUACUGCAGGGGAGACUGGAAUUCCUGGUGUAGCGGUGAAAUGCGCAGAUAUCAGGAGGAACACCGGUGGCGAAGGCGGGUCUCUGGGCAGUAACUGACGCUGAGGAGCGAAAGCGUGGGGAGCGAACAGG